rnacentral:misc_RNA from 1 species
UUUUUUUUAAUAAAAAAAAAAAAAAAAUAUUAUUGAUGUAGAAGUUCGGGACGAGGAAGAGGUCCUAUCCCCAUCCACUCCAUAUCAAGAUACAAAGGUCAAAGAAGAGUCAAAAACAGUUAUUAGGAUGCAGGACAGAGUUGCCAUCCUUGUGUUCAUACUAGCUUUUUCCCUCCUAAAAUACACUGUAUACAGGACCUUAAAUGGAAAAACAAUCCAUAAAUAAGGCACAUGUUUCCAGCC